rnacentral:rRNA from 1 species
AACGUAGGUUCCGAGCGUUAUCCGGAUUUACUGGGCGUAAAGCGCGUUCAGGCGGUUUGGCAAGUCGGGUAUGAAAUCUCUCGGCUCAACCGGGAGAGGUUGUCCGAUACUGCUGGACUUGAGGGCAGUAGAGGGUGGUGGAAUUCCGGGUGUAGUGGUGAAAUGCGUAGAUAUCCGGAGGAACACCAGUGGCGAAAGCGGCCACCUGGACUGCACCUGACGCUGACACGCGAAAGCUAGGGGAGCGAACGGG